UACGGAGGGUGCAAACGUUGCUCGGAAUCAUUGGGCGUAAAGCGCACGUAGGCGGCUCGUUAAGUCGGAUGUGAAAGCCCUGGGCUCAACCCAGGAAGUGCAUACGAAACUGGCGAGCUUGAAUAUGGAAGAGGGUCGCGGAAUUCCCGGUGUAGAGGUGAAAUUCGUAGAUAUCGGGAGGAACACCAGUGGCGAAGGCGGCGACCUGGGCCGAUAUUGACGCUGAGGUGCGAAAGCGUGGGGAGCAAACAGG
rnacentral:rRNA from 1 species